AUUUGCUCGGGCCAACGAAUGUGAAGUGAAGUGUGCUAGGGCUGAGGCGUUCCAGUUCUGCUAAGUGCUAAGCAACUCUUCAUCGUCUCCCCCAGCUGCAGGGGCCAACAACAUUCCAGAUGAUGAACCCUGAGUAUCUAAGAGAGGGUCACCCUACCCCCAUCGAAACCUGCUCUCAAGAAAUCAUCCACUGAUUGGCAUUAAAGAAAAAGUGCCAGUAACGCCUGAAGUGUUUUCUUCCCAGGGCGUGUGCCCCUCCUCAGCAGAGAAUCAAAUCCUCCGCCAGAGGGUCAACUGUAUGGCAAGACCUGCAUGACCCCUGUCCUCCUGGAAUUUAUAAUUCAGUGGAAGAGUCAGGCAUUGAGCAGAUAAAGGAUUUUGGAGUGGCCUUGGAGGAGCAGAGGAAGACUCUGGAGGAGCUACCCCCAGCCACCCCUUGGCACCACUACUGGGGCCAGGGCCAAAGGAGGUUGCAGCUGGACCACUUAAGGGCCUGAAAGGGGCCAGAGAAAGUGAGAGGGCAGAGCAGUGUGGGCGGUGUCUGAGGGCUGGAUCCUACAAGACCUGGGAGGAGGCCCCAAAGAGUCAUCUGAUUCUUGCUUUAGAAAAAUAGUGUUUUGAUCUGCAGAGACUCAUGGGUGGGGGGCAGAGGGCAGAAGGGGAACUCAUGGAGGCCAGUUCUUUUGAGAUGACCCUGCUUAUCUUCACCAGGCACAGAAUUAGAAAUAUUCUGCCAUUAGGAGAGAAUAAAACCCUUUUCCUCAGCUUCCUUAUGAAAGGCAGACGCUCCCAUCAUUAUGAAGCCCUGAGGACCCUUUGAGGUGCCCUGGUCCCACCUCCCCAAUGCACAGAUGAGGAAACCAAGGCUGGCGAGGUGCAAGGCCACCCAGGCAGGACCACGAGCGCAGCAAGUGGCACAGGUGGGAUUCUGCUGGCCUCCAAAAUUCACACCUUCGCCAUGCAUUGCCCUUGGAUGCCACCUCGACCAACCCAUUUUCUUUUACAGGUAAGGAGACUGAGACUCAGAGAGAAGGUGGCUUUUCAAGGGCUGUAACCUGAUCCCUAGAGGCUCAUCUCUGCUCCUUCCCCUGCUCAGAGCUGCUUCCUUGUGGGUAGCAGAAGAGAAAGUGUCCCCUAAAUAAAUGCCAUUACCACUGGGCUGUGAACAAAACAAUGUCCCCAUGGCUGGGGGCAGCCUGGGGCCAUGUGAGGAAGUUGCUUCCUUGGAGCAACUGGUGUGGGAGCUGGAGCAUUUGCUGGCCACCCGCUCUCCCAGGAACAGAAAACUCAGGAACCACGUUGGGCAGGAGCCCGUGGGAACGAGGCCUACACUCCCCUCUCCACGGGCCCCCUCAGCCACUGAUUAUGCUCCCAGUGAAAGCCCUGCCGAGCAGAACAUCUGUAUUGCGCAGGGAACUGGCGCCGGGGCGGCCCGGCUGCCACAGGGGCUCGGCGGGAGUCCACCAGUUCUGGGGCUGUCACCUCUGACCCCACAGAGACCGUGUCUCCCAGGGUCCACAUUCUGACCCUGGAAAUCUGGAGCAAGUUAGGGGAAAUUUAGACAGAUGUUGCUUUUUCCAGUUUCCUGUGGAAAUUAAGUGACACAGGGAGGCAUAUCAUUCAGGGGAGGAGAUGAAAUAUGUGAGGAGAACAGAGGAAAUAAUAUAUGAGGUGUUUGUUUGCAAAGCAGUUGUCUCUUCCUUGCUCAGGGCUUGUCAGAAGGAAGUUGAUCUCUCACAAGGCAGUAACAGCAAAGCAAGUCCUUCUUUUUCUAGAGAACCUCAACUCAACCCUCAUGGACCAACUCAGGCCCCCUGCUUCCCACCUGCCAAGGCAAAGUGGUGGCUGGGUUCACCCAUCACCCUGUACACACCUUCACAGUAAUCUUGUGACUUGGACUUGGAGGACAAUUAGUCAUUAUAUCUGACUCCCUGCUAGGCUUCGGCGGAUACUGUGCCUUAAUCAUCUCAUAACCACAGUGCCAAGUAGAGGGCCUGGUACAGAAGAAUAACCCACUAAAUGUUGGAGAACUGGAUGGGGGGGGAGAGAAAUGGAAGAAAGGAAGGAAAAAAGUAGAAAGAAAGGGGGAAAUACAGGUUUCUUCAGGGUAUUUGCAAGUCCCUAACUCUUCCCUAUUGAUCUGAAGCCAACACCUGCCUCUUAGAAUUAACACGCCUCAAGAAAAUUCAUUCAUCAGGCUGGAAUAAGGUUGAGCUGAGCACCACAAAUAACAGUGGCUUAAAGAAGAUAGGAGUUCAUUUCUCACUCACAU